CCUGUGAUAGCGGGAUAACACAUGGAAACGUGUGCUAAUACCGCAUGAAGCAUCAAUACUGCAUGGUGAAGAUGUUAAAGAGAAAUCGAUCAUAGAUGGGCUCGCGUAUGAUUAGAUAGUUGGUGAGGUAACGGCUCACCAAGUCUGCGAUCAUUAGCCGAACUGAGAGGUUGAACGGCCACAUUGGAACUGAGAAACGGUCCAGACUCCUACGGAAGGCAGCAG
rnacentral:rRNA from 1 species